ACGGAGGAUGCAAGCGUUAUCCGGAUUUAUUAGGUUUAAAGGGUGUGCAGGCGGAUGUAUAAGUCAGUGGUGAAAGUCAGCAGCUUAACUGUAGAAUUGCCAUUGAUACUGUAUUUCUUGAGUGCAGUUGAGGUAUGCGGAAUGUGUAAUGUAGCGGUGAAAUGCAUAGAUAUUACACAGAACACCGAUUGCGAAGGCAGCACGCUAAGUUAUAACUGACGCUGAUGCACGAAAGCGUGGGGAUCAAACAG
rnacentral:rRNA from 1 species